rfam:Clostridium spiroforme DSM 1552 Scfld_02_9 genomic scaffold, whole genome shotgun sequence.
UCUGGUAGCGAUAGCAUGAUGGACACACCUGUACCCAUACCGAACACAGAAGUUAAGCAUCAUAACGGCGACGAUAGUACUGCGGUGCGACAAUAGCAAGCUGCCGGUU